rnacentral:rRNA from 1 species
UACGAAGGGGGCGAGCGUUGUUCGGAUUUACUGGGCGUAAAGGGCGCGUAGGCGGCUUAUUUUGUCAGGCGUGAAAGCCCCGGGCUUAACCUGGGAACUGCGUUUGAUACGGAUGGGCUAGAGUUCGGGAGAGGAGAGUGGAAUUCCCAGUGUAGAGGUGAAAUUCGUAGAUAUUGGGAAGAACACCAGUGGCGAAGGCGGCUCUCUGGACCGAUACUGACGCUGAGGCGCGAAAGCGUGGGGAGCAAACAGG